UGCAACCCGACUCCGUGAAGCUGGAUUCGCUAGUAAUCGCGCAUCAGCCAUGGCGCGGUGAAUACGUUCCCGGGCCUUGUACACACCGCCCGUCAAGCCAUGGGAGCCGGGGGUACCUGAAGUGCGUGACCGCAAGGAGCGCCCUAAGGUAAAACCGGUGACUGGGGCUAAGUCGUAACAAGGUACC
rnacentral:rRNA from 1 species